rnacentral:rRNA from 1 species
AAUAACCCUGUUCCUUUAUUUUUUUGACCUUUUGUAUUAGGGCUUUUCUGUGUCGAAACCCAAAGAGCGAAGUUACUUUUCUCCCCUUUUUCAAAAUGGGGGUAAAAGUAAAACUUAGGGAGGACAUCUCUGUCAUGUUGGGACAUAACCUAUUUUUUAAUCCAGCCAGGCCCGGGUUGCACUUAGUUAGGAAUAACAUCAAAAAAAAUUAACUUUUUAUUUAUAAAAACUAUAAUUUAAAUUUUGCUUAAAGUUCAAUUCCUAAAACCCGCAAGUUUAAUGAAAAGAUUAGGAGAAAUAAUUAUUAUGGCUUUACGAACUCGGGCGGGGGCUCACCUGUUUACCAAAAACAUCGCUUGGUGCAGACAUACUAAGUAAUUCCUGCUCGGUGAUUUUAAACAGCAGCGGUAUCCUGACCGUUCGAAGGUAGCAUAAUAAGCUUAAUAAUUGUAAGCCUGUCAACGGAGCGAUGGGUCCCCGUAAAUUAGAGCCAUUGAUUUCAGAAUUGCCUCGAAAGUAAGAACACUUUUGGUGUAAAAAAAGACGAUAAGACCCUAGAAUUUUCUAUUCUUAGUUUAGAUGGGGAAUCUUUGGUACAAAAAACCACCUAAAAAAUACUCUAGGGAUAACAGCCUCAUUCGGAAGUGACUUCCGAGCUUGGGACCUCGAUGUUGAAUUAGGCUUUAUUGCCCCCAGAAGGGGCACUUUUAGGUCUGUUCGACCUAGCUAGCCUACAUGAUUUGAGUUCAGACCGUCGUGAGACAGGUCAGUUUCCAUCUUUUUAUUUGCCGCCUUUGUACGAAAGGACUGGGAGGUACUAUUUCUAUAGAUUU